rnacentral:rRNA from 1 species
GAUGAACGCUGGCGGCGUGCCUAAUACGUGCAAGUCGAGCGAACAGACGAGGAGCUUGCUCCUCUGACGUUAGCGGCGGACGGGUGAGUAACACGUGGAUAACCUACCUAUAAGACUGGGAUAACUUCGGGAAACCGGAGCUAAUACCGGAUAAUAUAUUGAACCGCAUGGUUCAAUAGUGAAAGACGGUUUUGCUGUCACUUAUAGAUGGAUCCGCGCCGCAUUAGCUAGUUGGUAAGGUAACGGCUUACCAAGGCAACGAUGCGUAGCCGACCUGAGAGGGUGAUCGGCCACACUGGAACUGAGACACGGUCCAGACUCCUACGGGAGGCAGCAGUAGGGAAUCUUCCGCAAUGGGCGAAAGCUUGACGGAGCAACGCCGCGUGAGUGAUGAAGGUCUUCGGAUCGUAAAACUCUGUUAUUAGGGAAGAACAAAUGUGUAAGUAACUAUGCACGUCUUGACGGUACCUAAUCAGAAAGCCACGGCUAACUACGUG